GAUGAACGCUGGCGGCGUGCCUAAUACAUGCAAGUCGAGCGAACGGACGAGAAGCUUGCUUCUCUGAUGUUAGCGGCGGACGGGUGAGUAACACGUGGAUAACCUACCUAUAAGACUGGGAUAACUUCGGGAAACCGGAGCUAAUACCGGAUAAUAUUUUGAACCGCAUGGUUCAAAAGUGAAAGACGGUCUUGCUGUCACUUAUAGAUGGAUCCGCGCUGCAUUAGCUAGUUGGUAAGGUAACGGCUUACCAAGGCAACGAUGCAUAGCCGACCUGAGAGGGUGAUCGGCCACACUGGAACUGAGACACGGUCCAGACUCCUACGGGAGGCAGCAGUAGGGAAUCUUCCGCAAUGGGCGAAAGCCUGACGGAGCAACGCCGCGUGAGUGAUGAAGGUCUUCGGAUCGUAAAACUCUGUUAUUAGGGAAGAACAUAUGUGUAAGUAACUGUGCACAUCUUGACGGUACCUAAUCAGAAAGCCACGGCUAACUACGUGCCAGCAGCCGCGGUAAUACGUAGGUGGCAAGCGUUAUCCGGAAUUAUUGGGCGUAAAGCGCGCGUAGGCGGUUUUUUAAGUCUGAUGUGAAAGCCCACGGCUCAACCGUGGAGGGUCAUUGGAAACUGGAAAACUUGAGUGCAGAAGAGGAAAGUGGAAUUCCAUGUGUAGCGGUGAAAUGCGCAGAGAUAUGGAGGAACACCAGUGGCGAAGGCGACUUUCUGGUCUGUAACUGACGCUGAUGUGCGAAAGCGUGGGGAUCAAACAGGAUUAGAUACCCUGGUAGUCCACGCCGUAAACGAUGAGUGCUAAGUGUUAGGGGGUUUCCGCCCCUUAGUGCUGCAGCUAACGCAUUAAGCACUCCGCCUGGGGAGUACGACCGCAAGGUUGAAACUCAAAGGAAUUGACGGGGACCCGCACAAGCGGUGGAGCAUGUGGUUUAAUUCGAAGCAACGCGAAGAACCUUACCAAAUCUUGACACCCUUUGACAACUCUAGAGAUAGAGCUUUCCCCUUCGGGGGACAAAGUGACAGGUGGUGCAUGGUUGUCGUCAGCUCGUGUCGUGAGAUGUUGGGUUAAGUCCCGCAACGAGCGCAACCCUUAAGCUUAGUUGCCAUCAUUAAGUUGGGCACUCUAAGUUGACUGCCGGUGACAAACCGGAGGAAGGUGGGGAUGACGUCAAAUCAUCAUGCCCCUUAUGAUUUGGGCUACACACGUGCUACAAUGGACAAUACAAAGGGCAGCGAAACCGCGAGGUCAAGCAAAUCCCAUAAAGUUGUUCUCAGUUCGGAUUGUAGUCUGCAACUCGACUACAUGAAGCUGGAAUCGCUAGUAAUCGUAGAUCAGCAUGCUACGGUGAAUACGUUCCCGGGUCU
rnacentral:rRNA from 1 species